rnacentral:lncRNA from 1 species
GCUUCAAUCUUGCAAGAUUAUUCUUGCAAUUAUACUUCCAAUGACCAAAUUUAUCACAAAAUGAAUAAAUAAUAUCCUUAAGGAUAUCUUUUGCCUUCUCAUUAUUACUAACCAUCCCAAGAUCAGGAAUAUCUAAAAUAUCAGAGUUCUUCUCCGAUGCGAACCUUAUUUGCAAGUUCCUCAACCAAUCCACAAUGUUGGAUCGAUCAACAUAUUUUUAUUUAUGGUAUCAUACAAUGAAAAUAAAGAAA